rnacentral:lncRNA from 1 species
AAUUAGCAGAAAUGGUAGAAAAGGGCGAUUAAUGUUGGAGAUAGGGUAUCGUGAUAGAAAUCACUAAUCAGUAAUGUGAAAUUGGCAGAGCUCCAACCUCUUGAAUGUCGGCCUAGUUUCUUGAUGUAAUUUGUUGUUUGUAUAUUGCGUCAGAAUCAUAUCCUUGUUCUUAUCUCAGUUAAUAUAAACUUGUUCAUUUCUUUAUAUGAAAUUCAGAGUAGAUUAAAUCAUUAGUGGUGUUUCGAUUUGUCAAUUAAAGCCUAGUAUCUGGUAGAUAGUUGGAUAUCCAUUGUAUAUAGCAUUUACUUGGAUUGUUUAAUUUUGCAAAGCAUAAAGAGUCAUGCUUAAAUAUAAAAAAAAAGGUUUAGUGCUCGGUGAAAGCUGUGGAUAUUCUGGUGCCUACUUAUGAUUCGCUUCAAAGUGGAUAACUGACUACCUUUAGUACCUUAUAAUUUUUCUGCAGAUUUUCUUUACUCUUGUUCUUCCACUUCUAAUUCUUGGUCUUCUUAUUGGCAAGCAAGCUGAUCACAUUUUUUAGUGAUAAUACAAGUUCUUUACUUGCCGCCACAAGGUCCUAACCUUUUUUUACAAAGAUGCACAUAUUGUAAGCAGAUGAUCAACAACGUUUGAGAAUUUUUUUAAUGUUAGUUAAGCCCCUUAUUUAUCAAAUCCUAGAUCCGUCACUGGUGUCAUGUACACACAAAGAAUGUUUGUACUGCUUUGAGGUAUCCACAAAGUUAGCCUCUAUCUUCGCCUAGGCUUUCAUAAUAUUCAAUUGGGCAAUGUCUAUGUUCAAUGGAAGUCAAGUUGAGGAACAUGAGUUGAGAAUCUCUGUACUUUGCCAGUGCUUUGUCCUUGACUACAUAACACAACUUUGGUGCAUGGUAUUGAGAUUUAGAUUAAGGACAAAUAUAUUUCAGGCAUAUAAGGUGGACAUUUUAUCACUGUUAGGUCUGCAAUAGAUUUGCAUGCUUAUGCCACUAGAACGGUGUAUCAAUUAUGUCUCAUUUUCACAAUAUGCUUUUUCCAAAUUUGAUUGGCCGGUACUUCAGUGGACCAGAUGCAGACCAUUAGCAUCUGUAUAGGCCUGAAAACUUGACAGAAGGGAUAAAAGAGUCCAGUUGUGGAUGUCAACUCUUCAUUGCCAGUGUUUAAGUUGGGCGACUCCACAUAUUCAAGCUCCGUUCUUGAGAAUGCUCAACAGACAGCAAGUAUUUUAUUUUCUAGAUAAAUAUAGAGGUUCUUACACUAUGAGCAUUCAUUCUGCAGGUGCAGAUAUUUUACAAAUCAACAAGUUAUGGUUGGACUAUGUGAUUGUUUAGGUGGGAUAGGCCAACCUGGUUCACUUGGGAAUUGUUGGUCUAUUAUUUCAGUGGUCUUGAGUAGUCGCUUUCAUUAUAUGCAGUUUUUUUUUUAAUUUUCCACUAUAAAUAAAUUUAUUGGUGAGAUAUAGACUUGCAAGACCAAGUUGUUACUUAUGUUAAAAAAAAUGCAGGAAGCAAUUAAUAAUGGAUCCAGAACAACUGAUUUUACCCUGACUUCUGAUUCAAUAUGCCUUGUUUCUCAAAGUAAAUCUUUAAGGUCCUGCUUUAAAUAUUCAACGAUGGUCGGAAAAAUAUUCCUCUCAUUCUUCGGCUUUUCCACAUUAUUCAAUAGCGAUCUUUCAUUACUCUGCAGAGGGUAAAGGACUUAAAAUUUGUGCAGGUUUCGUUGUCAAAAGGAAAGCUUUUUCGGUCCAAUGGCACCCCUGACUCCGGUAACAUGGUCCCUAAAUCUCCAAGUGCUCCAUCCAGCAGAGAAAUAUUGACAUUCUAUCUGAAGAGUGAAGACUACCUUUUCUGCCAUUCCCUUUCUUCUGGUCAAUAUACUACUGAAAGCAACUGGUGCGUCUUCAUUUCCUGUUCAUUUUCUCAGACACGCACUAACAGAGCAUCUAUGUAUGAGGUUUAGUGCCGAACAUUGUUAGUUGUUCAACUAGCAUAAACUCAUUUCUAACACUUAUAAAGUCGCAUAGCUUUUCAUCUAAUAUAUGCAGCUGUGGUGCAAAUGUAAAGCAUGAUUAUUGUUGGGAUGCUCUUG